rnacentral:rRNA from 1 species
UGGGGAAUAUUGGACAAUGGGGGGAACCCUGAUCCAGCCAUGCCGCGUGUGUGAAGAAGGCCUUAUGGUUGUAAAGCACUUUAAGCGAGGAGGAGGGUACUGGUAUUAAUACUACCAGCUACUGGACGUUACUCGCAGAAUAAGCACCGGCUAACUCUGUGCCAGCAGCCGCGGUAAUACAGAGGGUGCGAGCGUUAAUCGGAUUUACUGGGCGUAAAGCGUGCGUAGGCGGCUGAUUAAGUCGGAUGUGAAAUCCCUGAGCUUAACUUAGGAAUUGCAUUCGAUACUGGUUAGCUAGAGUAUGGGAGAGGAUGGUAGAAUUCCAGGUGUAGCGGUGAAAUGCGUAGAGAUCUGGAGGAAUACCGAUGGCGAAGGCAGCCAUCUGGCCUAAUACUGACGCUGAGGUACGAAAGCAUGGGGAGCAAACAGG